rnacentral:tRNA from 1 species
CUUUUAAAGGAUAACAGUUAAUCCACUGGUC